rnacentral:lncRNA from 1 species
ACUGAAAGCAUUCCUGUGACCCUUUCUUGCUACCUGGCAGAUUAAUUAUGAGAGUUUUCCCUCUGAUUCCACAUACAGGUCUCUGGGGUGACAUCUCGUGGUGCAAACCCUGUUCCUCCAGUUGUUAAAAUCAAAUUAAGUUCCUUUUCAUCACACCAAUCUAUCAGCGUCUCCUUGAUUUCUUCUAUUUCAUCUGGCACUAUCUUGUAUGCAGAUAUAGUCCCACCCAACAAAGAAGGGUCCUGGACCAGAUCUUUAAGGUUUAUCCCACUACGAUCCUCGGCAAGGUUCCUGAAGCAACUGUCACUCACUGUGAGCACCCCGACGCGGAUCUGGUGAUCGUGGUUCGUUAGAAUCAUCCCCUCCG